GCGACCCCAGGUCUAGGCGGGAUCACCCGCUGAGUUUAAGCAUAUCAAUAG
rnacentral:rRNA from 1 species